GCGAGCUGGGCGGUGCGCCGUGGUCCCGGAAUCUGAGGCUUCUUUGGGUGCUGGCGGGGCGGAGGUGCUGGCUCAGGGUGAGGUUUGAAGAGUUGGAAUGACAACAAAUCAGAAUGAACUAGAGUGAGACCGGAAAAACUUUGAAUAAGCCCACAUUUUCUUUGAGGCUACUCUGACUCGUGUGAAAGUGAUAUCAAAAUAUUUAACAAGCUAUAGGCAAGGUCACCAGCUGUCAUGGGAGUACCUUCAAGAUGGUCCCCAGUGAUUUGCACCUACUGAGACCAAUGACAGCUUCCACCUAGAUUGGUACCACAUGGCUCUGAGAACUGCUGACAACAUCUUUAAUCCUUUCCACUAGAUAAAUUGGGAAAAUUUGAAAUAUUUUCAAGGUGGUAACUUCUAGAUUUUAAACUUCUUUUUAAAGAAACACUUCCAACUAACUAAAACUUGUUUUCUAUCCUCAUUAUCUAUGUCUUUAAAGAAAAAGUGUCACUGAGCAUCUUGGCACAUGAUUCUCAGCUGGGAUUCAUUAUCCUCUUCAAGAAUUUUUUCUCUCUUUCCUAGUAGAUCUCUGAAGAAGUGAACAUAUUAGAAAGUACAAACUACUGUAAUUUUUUUAUUUUUAAAACAUGUUUGGGAAAGGCUUGUUACAGUCUGAUCUAAGAAGAAAAAUAAAAUUAUGCUUGAAGUAUCUCA